AAAGAUUUAGUUUAUUACAAAACAUUUAUUUGUCAAUUAAAAAAAAUUUAAUUAAAUAGUCUUUU
rnacentral:tRNA from 1 species